UUGCAGAGCAUCUCACAUAUUUCAUCAGUGCACUGUUUCAGCAAAGAAAGGCGAUGAACGUCAGGUUGCCAGAUCCACGUAUGUGAACAGCUCAUCUGGGCAUGCUAAACCAGGGCAGUGCCAAGCAUGUGGCCGAGAUCCAUCGAAUUGUGGUGCAUGAAUUCUACAGUGCGAGAAAUUUUGACUAUGACAUCGCCCUUGUGCAGUUGAAGAAGGCCUGGCCCAGCAGUCUGGUAAAAUAUAUCCACAGUAUGGUACAAUAAAUACAAUAUACCUUCCUGCGGCCCCUUCACAGACCUUCACUGAGGGACAUCGCUGCUGGGUCACCGGUUGGGCCUACCGUUCUGAACAGGAUAAGGUUCUACCCACUGUAUUGCAGAAGGCAGAAGUUAGCAUUAUAGGCCAGAGUGAAUGUAAGAGAAGCUAUGGCAGUGUCACCCCACAUGCGGUGUGCUGGUGUGCCUUCAGGAGAGCAGGGUGCCUGCCUGGUGAGGGGAGAUAACACUCAUUGGACUGGUUCCUGCUUUAUGAACCAAGCAUAAGCUUAGUAUCUCUUUCAAAACAUUAUUAAAAGACCUAAUCUCUCUUGUUGAUGAAAGUGAGCUGUCUCUGGAUUUUUACAUAACCAAUUUUUAAUUCCAGGGAGGUUCAGGGAGUCUCUGUCCUGUCGAGCACACUCGGGCCGCUGGUUUCUGACAGGCAUUGUGAGCUGGGGUUCCGGCUGCGGCAGACUCAACCUUCCCGGAGCUCAGACUGGAUCCAAAGACAUAUUAAAAAAUUAUGAAACAGCCAAUAAAUCGACCUUACAAUAAAUUAUGUAUUUCACACACUCAAAACAAGCCAUUGUCAUCUCAACAACUGUUCCCCAGCAAAUACAUGUGUCUGUCAAUCAUGUAACACCAUUAUAUUA